rnacentral:rRNA from 1 species
GACGUAGGGUGCAAGCGUUGUUCGGAUUGACUGGGCGUAAAGGGCGUGUAGGCGGUCGGCCAAGUCUGAUGUGAAAGCCCGAGGCUCAGCCUCGGAAGUGCGUCGGAAACUAGUCGGCUGGAGCGCGAUAGAGGAGGGUGGAAUUCCUGGUGUAGCGGUGAAAUGCGUAGAUAUCAGGAGGAACACCGGCGGCGAAGGCGGCCCUCUGGAUCGUUGCUGACGCUGAGACGCGAAAGCGUGGGGAGCAAACAGG